ensembl:rRNA 5S_rRNA 5S ribosomal RNA
GCUUACGGCCAUACCAACCUGGCUAUGCCCGAUCUCGUCUGCUCUCCGAAGCUAAGCAGGUUUGGGCCUAGUUAGUACUUGGAUGGGAGACCGCCUGGGAAUACCAGGUGCUGUAAGCU